rnacentral:lncRNA from 1 species
AAUGUCAAGACCAUAUGCUGCAGCUGAGUAAGUAUCUUGCAGAGGGAGCCACAGCUGGUCUAUAUUUAAGAGAGAGACAGCCAGGCACAUUAUCAGCUAGUUAAUUUACUGAAAAUUCCAGGUGAUAUCCAUGACUUGCACCUCUUCCAAAGGACAGACUUUCCUGGUCUGGUGCCCUCCAGAGAUUUUGGAUGCGUCCCAAAGACACAUCCAGCAUGCUCACCAUCGUAAAAGAAAGGCUCUUGCUUUGGAAUGUACUUCCCGAUUAAUUGUGACUGUAGGGGCUUUCCUUAAUAGGCUCACAGAACAUGUUAUGGAAGAAGCUAUGCAGACUGAGAGACCUGUUGCUCAGGCAGGUGAAGUGGCUGCACAAUUUUUAGUGCUAAGGGGGAAAAAGACAGCAAGGGCAGGCGGGUGUGCUAACAAGAUGGAAUUUUUAAAAUAA